CUUUCAGAUCUACUGUUGUAAAACUCAAGCCCUGCGCCAAAAUUUUCCAGCCCUCACAAUUCCAUUCUCAAUUCUUGGCGGUAAUUUGCGGAUGAAGAGAAUGUGUGAAAGAAAAAACACACAUAAAGACAAUGAAUGAGUCAAAUUUUCAUUUCGUGGAUAAAAGGGGAUUCAUGCAUGAUGCUGAUGCAAAUUGUUACACCCUGAAAAUUUUUAAGCUUAGACGUGAAUCACUGUAUAUAAGUGUUCAAAAUUAUGAAGGGGCACUCCAUUGAGAUCAAUUCACACUUCUUGCUAGCUUUGGUGAACCUUCCUUGCAUUCCGAAGGACUCCAUUCUUGCCUUUUAGUUUAGUAGUUUUGAGACGUCGUGGGUCUUGGUCCGACAUCAUGUUAAACUGCAUAGGCUUCAUAGAUAGUUGGUGCUGAGUUUCUGUCAAUAUCUCCUUUGAACUAUUUUCUGAAACUAUUAUUAUCUUCAAAUCAUUUUGAGUAACUAUUUGAGAUUGUUUGAGUUUGAGAA